AUUGAACGCUGGCGGCAGGCCUAACACAUGCAAGUCGAGCGAGCGGCGGACGGGUGAGUAAUGUCUGGGAAACUGCCGGUUGGAGGGGGAUAACUACUGGAAACGGUAGCUAAUACCGCAUACCAUCAGAUGUGCCCAGAUGGGGUUAGCUAGGAGGUGGGGUAACGGCUCACCUAGGCGACGAUCCCUAGCUGGUCUGCGAGGAUGAUCAGCCACACUGGAACUGAGACACGGCCCAGACUCCUACGGGAGGCAGCAGUGGGGAAUAUUGCACAAUGGGCGCAAGCCUGAUGCAGCCAUGCCGCGUGUGUGAAGAAGGCCUUCGGGUUGUAAAGCACUUUCGGCGGGGAGGCGUUACCCGCAGAAGAAGCACCGGCUAACUCCGUGCCAGCAGCCGCGGUAAUUC
rnacentral:rRNA from 1 species